CGCGUAGGCGGCGCUUCAAGUCGCAUGUGAAGGACCAGGGCUCAAACCCCUGGGGGGUCGAUGCGAAACUAGGAGGUGCUUGAGUGCAGUAGAGGUAAGCGGAAUUCCUGGUGUAGCGGUAAAAUAGCGUAGAGAUCAGGAGGAACACCGGUGGCGAAGGCGGCUUACUGGGCUGCAACUGACGCUGAUGCGCGAAAGCGUGGGGAGCAAACA
rnacentral:rRNA from 1 species